CAACCGCUCUGCGAGGCUGACCACAGCGCAAGGUUAACUCAAUUUAAGACCACUGGCUUCACCAUCUCACCUCCGACGGGUGGAUAUUUUCCCACUCUAAAUGUCUUGCCUUUGUGACUUGGUUGUUUAAGGCCCCUGCACCUUCUUCUGCUCUUAUGAGUCUCUAUAACUUCGUUCAGACUCAGGGUUUGAUGAUGCCAACAGGAAGCAGAUGCUGCCAGGAACUCCACCAACUGAGUUAUGAUGUUUCUGUAUCUACUCCUUCUGCGGUUGCUCUCUUUGUGAAAAGCCAAAGGGGUCCAGUGUUGCUUUUGGACCCUAUUAACCGCUUUUCCACUGUGGGGCCAGUGCGAGCCAGUGGUUUAAAUGGGCCGGGAAAGGCUAAUAGCCUCAGACUUUAAGCACCUGAUGUGUUUCCACCAUCGGGCCAGAAGCUCCGCUGCACUUCACUAAAACCCACCUUUACACGUCUUUCAGGAACAAUGUCAUGCAACCCCAUCAAUUCACCAACAAAGAGAAGUUAUCAGAAAACUAAUAAGAAAUAA